rnacentral:tRNA from 1 species
GGCCUCAUAACUCAGCUGGUAGAGUACGCGCCUCUUAAGCGCUUAGUCGUUGGUUCGAAUCCAACUGGGGUCA